rnacentral:rRNA from 1 species
UACAUAGGUCUCAAGCGUUGUUCGGAUUCACUGGGCGUAAAGGGUGUGUAGGCGGCGCCGUAAGUCUGGUGUGAAAUUUCGGAGCUUAACUCCGAAACUGCAUUCGAUACUGCGGUGCUUGAGGACUGGAGAGGAGACUGGAAUUCAUGGUGUAGCAGUGAAAUGCGUAGAGAUCAUGAGGAAGACCAGUGGCGAAGGCGGGUCUCUGGACAGUUCCUGACACUGAGACACGAAGGCAAGGGGAGCAAACGGG